rnacentral:pre_miRNA from 1 species
AAUCACGUACAGGCGGGAAAUGGUUACACUUUUUUGGACUUGGAUCACAGAUUGCACUUUUAAGUUCACCAAGUCCAAAAUAGUGUAACCAUUUCCCGCCUGUAGGGGAAAG